UAGGGAAUCUUCCACAAUGGACGCAAGUCUGAUGGAGCAACGCCGCGUGAGUGAAGAAGGUUUUCGGAUCGUAAAGCUCUGUUGUUGGUGAAGAAGGAUAGAGGCAGUAACUGGUCUUUAUUUGACGGUAAUCAACCAGAAAGUCACGGCUAACUACGUGCCAGCAGCCGCGGUAAUACGUAGGUGGCAAGCGUUGUCCGGAUUUAUUGGGCGUAAAGCGAGCGCAGGCGGAAUGAUAAGUCUGAUGUGAAAGCCCACGGCUCAACCGUGGAACUGCAUCGGAAACUGUCAGGCUUGAGUGCAGAAGAGGAGAGUGGAAUUCCAUGUGUAGCGGUGGAAUGCGUAGAUAUAUGGAAGAACACCAGUGGCGAAGGCGGCUCUCUGGGCUGCAACUGACGCUGAGGCUCGAAAGCAUGGGUAGCGAACAGG
rnacentral:rRNA from 1 species